rnacentral:snRNA from 10 species
AGGCUGUGGCGGGGCGGAGGUGUGUGAACUCAUUACAUACCAUGAUCACGAAGGUUCUUUUUCCAGAGCGAAGCUUGCCCAUUGGACUUUGGGAUGUAUUGACCCCUGCGAUUUCUCCAAAUGUGGGAAACGCGACUGCGUAAUUUGUGGCAGUGGGGGACUGCGUUUGCGCUUUCUCCUG